UAAUCGGAGAGUUUGAUCCUGGCUCAGGACGAACGCUGGCGGCGUGCUUAACACAUGCAAGUCGAGCGGACCGACGCCGUCUCUUCGGAGACGGGAUAGGUUAGCGGCGAACGGGUGAGUAACACGUGGGUAAUCUGCCCCAAAGAUUGGGAUAACUCCGGGAAACCGGGGCUAAUACCGGAUCCCUUGCCGGGACCGCAUGAUCCUGGCAAGAAAGGUCGUCUUCGGACUUCCGCUUUGGGAUGAGCCCGCGGCCCAUUAGCUUGUUGGUGAGGUAACGGCUCACCAAGGCGACGAUGGGUAGCCGGCCUGAGAGGGUGUCCGGCCACACUGGGACUGAGAUACGGCCCAGACUCCUACGGGAGGCAGCAGUGAGGAAUAUUGCGCAAUGGGCGAAAGCCUGACGCAGCGACG
rnacentral:ncRNA from 1 species